rnacentral:rRNA from 1 species
CGAACCGGGGGAACUGAAACAUCUAAGUACCCCGAGGAAAAGAAAUCAACCGAGAUUCCCCCAGUAGCGGCGAGCGAACGGGGAGGAGCCCAGAGCCUGAAUCAGCAUGUGUGUUAGUGGAAGCGUCUGGAAAGGCGCGCGAUACAGGGUGACAGCCCCGUACACAAAAGCGCAUGUGCUGUGAGCUCGAUGAGUAGGGCGGGACACGUGGUAUCCUGUCUGAAUAUGGGGGGACCAUCCUCCAAGGCUAAAUACUCCUGACUGACCGAUAGUGAACCAGUACCGUGAGGGAAAGGCGAAAAGAACCCCGGCGAGGGGAGUGAAAAAGAACCUGAAACCGUGUACGUACAAGCAGUGGGAGCACCCUUUGGGGUGUGACUGCGUACCUUUUGUAUAAUGGGUCAGCGACUUAUAUUCUGUAGCAAGGUUAACCGAAUAGGGGAGC